UCUUUUUCUUCUUUUCUCUUUAGAGACUGUCCAAGAAGGAUCCAGAUUCAUGUGCUGAGCUUUGCUUUUUGUGCGUCAGUCCGAAUCACAAUUGUGAAGGAGCCUACUUAUUUGUGCUCGCAUUCACCUACAGGGUUCAGCUAAUAUCGACGGAAGCCGGAGUUCGCACCGGCAGAUAAUAAAAUCACAGCGGCACAACAAGAGCAUAAGAAAUAAUUCUGCUGAUCUGGACCUCAGAGAUGAAGCUGAAGUUACCGGAGCACAUCGCCACCUCUGCACUCCUGCCAGACAUGAGCU